UACGGAGGGGGCGAGCGUUGUUCGGAAUUACUGGGCGUAAAGCGCACGUAGGCGGCUUUGUAAGUUAGAGGUGAAAGCCCGGGGCUCAACUCCGGAAUUGCCUUUAAGACUGCAUCGCUAGAAUUGUGGAGAGGUAAGUGGAAUUCCGAGUGUAGAGGUGAAAUUCGUAGAUAUUCGGAAGAACACCAGUGGCGAAGGCGACUUACUGGACACAUAUUGACGCUGAGGUGCGAAAGCGUGGGGAGCAAACAGG
rnacentral:rRNA from 1 species